rnacentral:lncRNA from 1 species
CCUAUUGUUGUGUCUAUCUUAAUACUAAUACCACUCAAUCUUGCUAAACUAAUUUUCCGACUCAAUGGGUGUAAAAGUUUGGAUCUUCCUCUGGUGAAAUGUGGGUAAGCGCUCUCUGAUUCACACAGUCACAAAAUUAAGGAAAUUCAUCAAACUAAAUCAACUGUGUUUCGAUUGACCUUGGGGGGUUUCGAUUGUCGACGGAUUAGAAAAGAAGUUGAGAGUAAAAAAGGAAGCACGAGAAAGGAUACGAGGUCUUCCACUGCACUUGCCUCCUUCGCUAACAAUGCCGC